CCUACGGGUGGCAGCAGUGGGGAAUAUUGGGCAAUGGGCGCAAGCCUGACCCAGCAAUGCCGCGUGAAGGAAGAAGGCUUUCGGGUUGUAAACUUCUUUUACAGGGGAAGUGCAGAAGACGGUAACCUGCAAACAAUCCACGGCUAACUACGUGCCAGCAGCCGCGGUAAUACGUAGGUUGCAGGCGUUAUACGGAUUUAUUGGGUUUAAAGGGUGUGUAGACGGGAAGGCAAGUCAGAUGUGAAAGUUGGAGGCUCAACCUCAAAAUUGCAAUUGAUACUGUCUUUCUUGAGUACAGGUGAGGCAGACGGAAUUCGUUGUGUAGCGGUGAAAUGCGUAGAUAUAACGAAGAACACCAGUGGCGAAGGCGGUCUGCUAAACAGCCACUGACAGUGAUGCGCGAAAGCGUGGGGAGCAAACAGGAUUAGAUACCCGGGUAGUC
rnacentral:rRNA from 1 species